GGUCUUGUGGUCUAGUGGUAUGGUAAGUUAGCAAUGCACAACACCCAACCUGUCUAAUUCAACAAUUAACAAUAUAAUAGAUUCUCGCUUAGGGUACACCCUGAGUUAACUUGCGAGAGGCCCCGCGUUCGAGUCGCGGCAAGACCC